rnacentral:rRNA from 1 species
UACGGAGGGUGCGAGCGUUGUCCGGAUUUAUUGGGUUUAAAGGGUGCGUAGGUGGCUUUAUAAGUCAGUGGUGAAAUACAGCCGCUCAACGGUUGAGGUGCCAUUGAUACUGUAGAGCUUGAAACAAGUGGAGGCUGCCGGAAUGGAUGGUGUAGCGGUGAAAUGCAUAGAUAUCAUCCAGAACACCGAUUGCGAAGGCGGGUGGCUACGUUUGAUUUGACACUGAGGCACGAAAGCAUGGGGAGCAAACAGG